rnacentral:ribozyme from 1 species
UUUUUUUUUUUUUUUUUUUUUUUUUUUUUUUUGAACAGUUUAUUUGUUCAACAACGUUGAGUUUGGUGCAGCCAGCCAGGCAAAAGCACAACAGCUUAAUAAAUCAUGAACAUCACCACAAAAGUGAAGUCAAUCAAA